rnacentral:lncRNA from 1 species
GCUGCCGCAGUGGUUAUCCGGGCGCUCCGAAAGCGUCAAUGUUCGCCGCACCAACGGAAGAUGAACUUCGGAAGAAGUGGGAGCGCAAUCUGCGUAGAGCAGACAAGCCUCUCACUGAAUCUUCAGCGGUAUGUGAGCGCCACUUUGAGCCUCAAUACAUUGUGAGAGAUUACGUUCACAUCAUCAAUGGCAGCGAAGUGCGACUUCCACGUGGGAAGCCGUCGCUGGCGCCUGGCGCGGUGCCUACCCUUCUGCCCGACUGUGCGUCCUACCUUUCUGUCGCACCUGUCAAAGAGAGGCCGGAAAGGAAGAGGUCAGCCGCAGCAAGUGCACCGGCGGUAGGCACAAAGCCACGCAAGAGUGCACGGACCGCAAGAAAUGAACAACGAGCGGCAGUCAGUCAGCUCCGGCAACCGCUUCAUGAAAUCCAGGCCGAGAGUGCGGAAGAUGAAAAUGGACAGUUCGCGGAGAACGAACAGUUCGCAAUUAGCUCGCUCCAAGCAGUGAACGUUCCCUCAAAGCUCUGGUGCCGCUUUAACUGUGGCAGUGACUCAAGUGUAGUUUUCGCGACAACGUCGGUACGAAAGCAAGAAAGGCUCGAGAUUUUGCAUGAUAAAGUUGUGUAUUUCAGUGGGCAUGGAGACGAAGUCAGGAAAUUUGAGGCUUGCAGAGUUUACACACAUGAAGGACAACGGUGGUUUGUUGUAUCCUGCCUCCCCUCUGUACCAGUUUGUGGUCAACUUGGAGAAAGACUUCACGACUUGUUUCAGUCUUGUUGAGUUGAACGCAGACAGUGUUUUAGAUGUUUUGGAUGUUGUGAAAGCAAGGCGGCAGCAUCAACUUGGCUGCCCUGAUCACUGCGAAUCCAUGACAGCAGAACUCACUGCCUUCUACAUCACGACCAGACUACAUUUCUUCACAAAGAGCGUGAAUAAGUGUAAUGAAAGAAGGCGCCAGGCAUCAAAAUAUAUUAGGCUCAGUCGAUGUGCCUAAAGCUUCAUACUACAAGGUUUAUGUGUUUAACAGUAAUAGUUACUUAUACUAUGAUUAGAUGCUUGGUGUCUACAGUGCACUUUAGGAUUACUUUACAGUUGUGCCAUUUUCAUUGUUAAUAAAGAAAAAGAAACACCAACCUGGC